rnacentral:rRNA from 1 species
UACAGAGGGUGCAAGCGUUGUUCGGAAUUAUUGGGCGUAAAGCGCACGUAGGCGGUCUAUUAAGUCGAAUGUGAAAUCCCUGGGCUUAACCCAGGACGUGCAAUCGAAACUGGUAGACUUGAGUAUCGUAGAGGAUAGUGGAAUUCCCAGUGUAGAGGUGAAAUUCGUAGAUAUUGGGAGGAACAUCAGUAGCGAAGGCGACUAUCUGGGCGAUAACUGACGCUGAGGUGCGAAAGUGUGGGUAGCAAACAGG